rnacentral:misc_RNA from 1 species
GUAGGUGAACCUGCGGAAGGAUCAUUAAAAAAACUGGCCGCCCUCGCGGGUGGCCUGAUGGUAACCGGCGACCGCCUUCAGGUGGGAGCCGUAAGCCUAAACCCUUUGUGAAAACCCCCGGUUGCUUCGGCAGCUCGUCCGGCGCCCCUCGGGGACCGGACGGUCAGCCUGCCGACGGCACUCCAGGAAACCCUUUGCUGUAAAGAAAGCUUUUAAAAGAGCACCGUCUGAGCGCGAAGUCUAAUGACUAUAAAACUUUCAACAACGGAUCUCUUGGUUCCC